rnacentral:rRNA from 1 species
CCUACGGGGGGCAGCAGUGGGGAAUAUUGGACAAUGGGGGGAACCCUGAUCCAGCCAUGCCGCGUGUGUGAAGAAGGCCCUCGGGUUGUAAAGCACUUUCAGUGAGGAAGAACGCCUGGUGGUUAAUACCCAUCAGGAAAGACAUCACUCACAGAAGAAGCACCGGCUAACUCCGUGCCAGCAGCCGCGGUAAUACGGAGGGUGCGAGCGUUAAUCGGAAUUACUGGGCGUAAAGCGCGCGUAGGUGGCUUGAUAAGCCGGUUGUGAAAGCCCCGGGCUCAACCUGGGAACGGCAUCCGGAACUGUCAAGCUAGAGUGCAGGAGAGGAAGGUAGAAUUCCCGGUGUAGCGGUGAAAUGCGUAGAGAUCGGGAGGAAUACCAGUGGCGAAGGCGGGCUUCUGGACUGACACUGACACUGAGGUGCGAAAGCGUGGGUAGCAAACAGGAUUAGAUACCCUUGUAGUC